rnacentral:lncRNA from 1 species
GUUUUUUGGGGGGUAUUGGUUACUAUUAGAUUUCCCUUACCCCAAGAACAGUAGCCUCCUUCCCAUAAUGCUCAUUUCCUUAACACAGCUGCCACAUGGAAUAGCAGCCUAUAUGUUAAAUAUGGCUUCUCUUAUGAAGGGACAGCCUACUUCUUCCCAUCAUGCCUCUUUUCCCACCAAAAGAGUAACCUGACACUUGCUACCUCGCCCAACCAGUGAUGUCACAAGCCCCUCCUAGUGAUAUCACAGGCUCCUCCAGUCUCUUAAUGCACCUCACUCAAUUCUAGUCCAGGUCAGGUUAACUCCACCCCGCUCCUAUAAAAGAAGCUCCCUGUUCUGCCAUGCUGCUUUUGCUUUGUAGGAGACAGCUUGGAAGAUCCUCCCCAUAACAAAGCCUUCUUUGGUACCUUAAUCCCACAAGUGUCUGUCACAGUGUCAGAGUCUGACUCUUCUGUCUUCCUCCUGAGUUUAGUGAGUGUUGACCACACUUAGGCAUCAAUCACGGCAAUCACAAAAGUUCCUCCAGUAAGAAAGGUUUCAUCUUAAAUUUUACUUCUACCAGUGUAUAUAUGACACUUUAAUGUGGGUAACCAGGAAGGUAAUUGAAACUGAACUGAAAAUUGUUAAUGUAUCAGUCGGUUCUCUACUUGCUGAGUACCACAACCAUAUUGGAAGAAAAACAGUGAGAAGUAAAGGGGGACCAAGAAGAAGGAAUGAAGAAAGAGAGAUAUUUUAAUGAAAUGGCUCACCUGUGGAAACUGGAAAAUCCAAAAUUUCAAGGUGUGUAACAAUCUAGGGAUUCAGGGAAGAGUUGAUGCUCCAUCUCAA